GAUGAACGCUGGCGGCGUGCCUAAUACAUGCAAGUCGAGCGAACAGACGAGGAGCUUGCUCCUUUGACGUUAGCGGCGGACGGGUGAGUAACACGUAGGUAACCUACCUAUAAGACUGGGAUAACUUCGGGAAACCGGUGCUAAUACCGGAUAAUAUUUCGAACCGCAUGGUUCGAUAGUGAAAGAUGGCUUUGCUAUCACUUAUAGAUGGACCUGCGCCGUAUUAGCUAGUUGGUAAGGUAACGGCUUACCAAGGCAACGAUACGUAGCCGACCUGAGAGGGUGAUCGGCCACACUGGAACUGAGACACGGUCCAGACUCCUACGGGAGGCGGCAGUAGGGAAUCUUCCGCAAUGGGCGAAAGCCUGACGGAGCAACGCCGCGUGAGUGAUGAAGGUCUUCGGAUCGUAAAACUCUGUUAUUAGGGAAGAACAAACGUGUAAGUAACUGUGCACGUCUUGACGGUACCUAAUCAGAAAGCCACGGCUAACUACGUG
rnacentral:rRNA from 1 species